rnacentral:rRNA from 1 species
AUACGGAGGGUGCAAGCGUUACUCGGAAUCACUGGGCGUAAAGCGCGCGCAGGCGGCUAUUUAAGUUGGAUGUGAAAGCCUACGGCUCAACCGUAGAACUGCAUCCAAAACUAUUUAGCCAGAGUGUGGGAGAGGAAGAUGGAAUUAGUUGUGUAGGGGUAAAUCCGUAGAGAUAACUAGGAAUACCAAAAGCGAAGGCAAUCUUCUGGAACACUACUGACGCUGAGGCGCGAAAGCGUGGGGAGCAAACGGGAUUAGAUACCCCCGUAGUCC